GGGUUUGUAGCUUUGCUGGCAUG
rnacentral:miRNA from 1 species